UACGUAGGGGGCGAGCGUUGUCCGGAAUUACUGGGCGUAAAGGGUGCGUAGGCGGUUUGGUAAGUUGGAUGUGAAAUACCCGGGCUUAACUUGGGGGCUGCAUCCAAUACUGUCGGACUUGAGUGCAGGAGAGGAAAGCGGAAUUCCUAGUGUAGCGGUGAAAUGCGUAGAUAUUAGGAGGAACACCGGUGGCGAAGGCGGCUUUCUGGACUGUAACUGACGCUGAGGCACGAAAGCGUGGGGAGCAAACA
rnacentral:rRNA from 1 species